rnacentral:rRNA from 1 species
UACGUAGGGGGCAAGCGUUAUCCGGAUUUACUGGGUGUAAAGGGAGCGUAGACGGCAUGGCAAGUCAGAUGUGAAAGCCCGGGGCUCAACCCCGGGACUGCAUUUGAAACUGUCAGGCUGGAGUGCAGGAGAGGUAAGCGGAAUUCCAUGUGUAGCGGUGAAAUGCGUAGAGAUAUGGAGGAACACCAGUGGCGAAGGCGGCUUCCUGGUCUGCAACUGACACUGAGGCGCGAAAGCGUGGGGAGCAAACAGG